rnacentral:rRNA from 1 species
GACGAACGCUGGCGGCGUGCUUAACACAUGCAAGUCGAACGGAAAGGCCCAGCUUGCUGGGUGCUCGAGUGGCGAACGGGUGCGUAACACGUGGGUGAUCUGCCCCUAACUUCGGUAUAAGCUUGGGACACUGGGUCUAAUACCGGAUAGGACAAUCGUUUAGUGUCGGUUGUGGAAAGUUUUUUCGGUUAGGGAUGAGCCCGCGGCCUAUCAGCUUGUUGGGGGGGUAAUGGCCUACCAAGGCGUCGACGGGUAGCCGGCCUGAGAGGGUGGACGGCCACAUUGGGACUGAGAUACGGCCCAGACUCCUACGGGAGGCAGCAGUGGGGAAUAUUGCACAGUGGGCGCAAGCCUGAUGCAGCGACGCCGCGUGGGGGAUGACGGCCUUCGGGUUGUAAACCUCUUUCGACAGGGACGAAGCUUUGGUGACGGUACCUGUAUAAGAAGCACCGGCUAACUACGUGCCAGCAGCCGCUGUAAAAC